AAACAGAUUCAGUUUUCACUUUUAUGUUUUCCUGAACUUCUGUCUUUACACACGAGGACCCCACCCCUUCUUACCUGUCCUACUUUCUUUCUUCUCCUUUGCCCUCUUGUCUAUGUUGUCAAAUCAAAUCUAAGCUGGACCACGUGUUUACUGCAUGUCUCUUACUCUAGAGAUCUCAACAGUGUGACAGAUACUAUUUAUUAAGAUGUUCCCUUUGUUUACUUUGGUAUUUUUUUAUGUUCACCUAAAUUGUAGGAUUUACGUACCUCUACUUCACUACUGCAAAGGGUUUGAACAUGUAACUGAGAUUUAGAUUAUAAUGACCGUUAUUCCACUUGCCAUAUUGUGAGAUUUAGUAAGUUUUACGCACAGGUAUUACGGUAUUUUGUAUAUGGCUCAAGGGCGCCCUCACUCGGUCGACAGUUAUUAACUUCGACAGACGUGUCCCAGCAGGUUUUGGGGUCCAGUUAGCCAAGCUGCUUUGGGAAGGAUUGGGGACGUCCUGGAACAGCUUCUUUUUCACCCUAUAAGUGUGGGGUGUCACAAGUGCAAGAAUCAGAUCUCACAUCUUAGUCUGUGCCAAACAGGCCACCGCUACGAGCACCAGGGAAGUCAGUAUGAGGGAAAGGACGGCCCACACCACUAAAGAAACCUCGUCAGAGCCUUCAGACACACAAACACAUAAAAAUACAAUAUACAAAGACACAACCUCAGCAAGUUAGGUUACAAACAGGGAAAUGUAUGUGUUUUACUUUAAGAGUGAAUGUUUGUGUGUGUGUGUGGGUGGGUUUGUGUGUGUCCCAUUUCCACCUAUGUGCACAUUAGUGAUGGGUCCAACUAUUCCAGCUCCAGGGUCAGUGUUGGCCUGCAUGAAGAUGUCGUAGCUACCAGGGGACAGAUUCCUCAGAGAGUAACUGUUAGCCUGAGCAGGCACACUCACACCUAAAUUAACAAAAAGAGGAAAGAAAAUGUUAUUAUAUGUAAAAAAUACAACAAAAAGUCAAAUCAGAAAGAUUAGUUAAGGUUCCUCCUCCAUAUAUCAGAAUAAAUGUGUGUACGACUCA